rnacentral:rRNA from 1 species
GUGGGGAAUAUUAGGCAAUGGGCGAAAGCCUGACCUAGCAACGCCGCGUGAAGGAAGAAGGCCUUCGGGUUGUAAACUUCUUUUAUGAGGGACGAAGGACGUGACGGUACCUCAUGAAUAAGCCACGGCUAACUACGUGCCAGCAGCCGCGGUAAUACGUAGGUGGCGAGCGUUGUCCGGAUUUACUGGGUGUAAAGGGCGCGUAGGCGGACUGGCAAGUCAGAUGUGAAAUACAGGGGCUCAACCCCUGAACUGCAUUUGAAACUGUUGGUCUUGAGUAUCGGAGAGGCAAGCGGAAUUCCUAGUGUAGCGGUGAAAUGCGUAGAUAUUAGGAGGAACACCAGUGGCGAAGGCGGCUUGCUGGACGACAACUGACGCUGAGGCGCGAAAGCGUGGGGAGCAAACAGGAUUAGAUACCCUUGUAGUCC